rnacentral:rRNA from 1 species
UGGAUCAGGAAUAUCCUUCGGGUUGUAAAGUACUUUCAGCGGGGAGGAAGGUGUUGUGGUUAAUAACCGCAGCAAUUGACGUUACCCGCAGAAGAAGCACCGGCUAACUCCGUGCCAGCAGCCGCGGUAAUACGGAGGGUG